UGCAAUCGUCUUAAGAGGUGGAGCCUUUGAGAGGUGAUUAGGUCAUGAAGGCUCUGCCCUCAUGAAUGGGUUUAGAGCUCUUACAAAAGAGGCUUGACAGAGCUUGUUUGCCCCUUCCCCUUCUGCCGUGUAAGGAACAUACAAGGCAUCAUCUAUGAGGAACGAGCCCUCACCAGACACUAAAUCUGCUGGCACCUUGAUCUUGGACUUUCCAGCCUCCAGAAUGAUAUCGCAAUCCAUUUUUUGUGCAUUCUGCUUCCCUAAUGAAAUCCACAUGUCUUAAAUCAAUAAAGCCAUUGUUUAACUUCCUUCUCUUAA